CCUACGGGUGGCUGCAGUGGGGAAUAUUGGACAAUGGGCGCAAGCCUGAUCCAGCAAUGCCGCGUGUGUGAAGAAGGCCUUCGGGUUGUAAAGCACUUUUAUCAGGAGCGCGGUACCGGAGGAAUAAGCACCGGCUAACUCCGUGCCAGCAGCCGCGGUAAUACGGAGGGUGCAAGCGUUAAUCGGAAUUACUGGGCGUAAAGCGUGCGUAGGCGGUUCGUUAAGUCUGUUGUGAAAGCCCCGGGCUCAACCUGGGAAUGGCAUUGGGGACUGGCGAGCUAGAGUGUGGCAGAGGAGGGUGGAAUUCCCGGUGUAGCGGUGAAAUGCGUAGAGAUCGGGAGGAACAUCAGUGGCGAAGGCGGCCAUCUGGGACAAACUGACGCUGAGGCACGAAAGCGUGGGGAGCAAACAGGAUUAGAUACCCUUGUAGUC
rnacentral:rRNA from 1 species